UGCCUCGCCUCUGUCCCCAGUAGCUGUGGACAGGUUAGCCUCCCAAGAGGAGCUCUGGAGGAAAAGGAUCUGGGCCACUAUUCCCAACACAGCAAGAACUGGCCUUGGGCGUCCCUCAGAGCCUAUGGGCCAGGAGACAUUCUUCUUCCUUUGUCCUAUUAAUGACUUCGUGUGCCUGCCCGAUCCCUGACUGUGAGGAUAAUCUUGUUUGAAGCUGAAUCCCAGCCUACAAAGGAGCGCAUUCCACAGCCCCAGAGCAGCUAUAGAGAAGGCCCGCCUCUGAGUCGCCACCAGACGAGCUGGUGAUAACUGGAGACGAACCUCCUCAGAUGACCUUAAUGUGCGGUGGGGAUCACGCAGAAGAAGGCGCUCUCUAAGGGCAUCGACAGAAUCACCGGCCGCACCAGCAUCGAAACCCUCCAAGGCCUUUUGGAAACCUGCUGGGUCCUGCAGCCUUUUUGGGCAGACCAUCCUAAUAGGUCCAUCACCCCUGCAGGGGUGGAUUGUGCCAUGAUACCAACCUUAACCAGCCCCUGGAAUUGUUGACCAAAAUAUAUAUAUAAUGUGCAGCCUGUGGAUCGUUGCCUUCUAGAGCUGGGCCAAAGGAUGGCUUUAUGGAAAACAUAGGAACUAUCCAUAUAUCAAGAAAGACGCCUUCGGGAUCAUGUGCUUCAACUACUCACCAACAGCACAUCUGAGGAAGGCAAGGGAAGUACAUUUGUAAUUUGUAACUAUAUUAUUUUCCUUACCACUCUGUAUUAGUGCUGGAGUGUGACUCACAGUGUAUCCUCCCCAUUGUUUGCAUCACCUACCAAAAAUACAUCUGUUCAGGCAUGUUGAACUAUAUGAUGCACAAAGUAUCUCUUUGACUAGGACAUUCACAGAGCAUUGUAGCGGCUCUAAAGUGGGGGAUAGGAGCCAAAACAGAUGCGGAUGCCUCUAGAGAUGUAAUUACAAACAUUGACAUUUGCCUAGGUUUUUUCAUUCUUUGUUUCUGUGGCAUACUGUAUUGUAGUUUGUUUUUUUAAAAAUCAUGUUAACUUUACUUUUUUCUUAUUACUGAUUUAAACACUUUUCAGAUGUGUUGUAGUAAAACUGGAGAGUAAACACACAAAUCAAUCAUAUAUAUGUAUAUGUAAAUUAAAUUGAGCCAGAUCUGAAUGCAUUUCUCCAAGUAAGUCUCUAAAGCAAUGCCUAUACCAUCAAGAUGAUGCCUUCCUAUGCUUAAUAGAGAAAUGCUAUCCAGUAUCUCUCUUUGCUCUCUGGGGCCAACUCAAGAUGCUGGGGAUUAAACACAAUACCUUUGUAACACAGGAAGCAUGUUUUCCCAAAGAGGCCUAUACUCAUCAAGAUCUGCUCAGAGUACCACCACCAUAGGAAAUAAAAUCAGUAUGGGCACAGAGCAGGGUCUUCUCCACUGUGGCCUCCUAGUCAUGGAAGUUUGCCACUGCCAGUGGCCAACUCUGUAUUCUUUAAAGAGAACUUCUUUGAAAUCCCAGUAGGCAUUGUUUGAGUUGUGUUCAGCACUAUUUUAAUAAUGUUGUUGUUGACUAUUUCAUUCUUAUCAUGGGUUUGUGUUACUUUAAUGUUGCUAGAGUCUAUACUAGGCAAGACAGGCAGUGUGUAAAUUGGGAAAAUAAAACAAACAAGAAAAAUAA